ensembl:lncRNA
CCCCCGCCCCCCGCUUCACAGCGCUCGGGAGCAGGCCGCUGCCCCGUGCGCCCCGUGCACGCCGAGCCGCCCAAGGAGCCAGGCUGCAGGCCGUGGGGGGCGGGGCGGGGCGGGCGAGGAUGGAGGAGGACACGGGUGGAGCCGCGGGCUAGGAAUCCCCGCUCCCACCGGGCCCCCGGCCAGGAGGCUCCCACCUUCCCGCCCAUCCCGAAAGUUCGCCGGACACGCAGGCGUGGUCCGCACGGGUUUGGGCAGCCCCGGGUCGAAGGCCGGGCGCUCAGGCGGAGGCGCACAGGCAGGGGCAGGGGGCUGGCCUGGGGGAGGUGGCCGAGGGCGCGCAGGCCGAAGGCGGGCAAGCAGCGGAAAGCAACUCCCAGGACGCAGGCCGAGCGCUCAAGCCUUGCCCGGUUGGGAGGCCAGCGGUGCCCAGGGGCCGCGCGUCCACUUUGCCCACUGCGCCCCCGCGCGCAGAGGCGUCCGCUCGCACCCCCCCCAGCCUUCCUACAGGCUGAUCGGGAUGGGGGGGGUGGAAACUGUGUAAAUCCCACUCCCUGGCACCCCCAGGUGCGGAGGGAGCGCACCCCGUGUCCCCAAGGGGUCCCAUCUGCUUCUCUCCCUUUGGGUCUCCAGCUUCACGAUUAUCACCACCGAAGACGAUCAAGCACAACCAGAUAAAUGUAUAUUUUAUACAGAAAGCUUGGCCUCUCCAGACUUGGCCCUCAAAGCGCCGGGUAGGGUUGGAGAAAGCAAGUCAUUUGGGGGGAGCAAGGGCGCCCCUCGAAAAGCCCGCGCAAGGCCUGCCGGGCGCCUCUCCGGCCCGCGCGGCCAGCGGAGUGGCUGGAUUAUGUAAGUAACCGCCACCAUGUGCUAGCCACCAUCUGUUAAUAUCUUGGUAUUGGAAAGUUCGGUGCCUGAGGCAAAGCCAGGGUUGGCGGCGAAGAGAGAUCCCAGCCUCCGAGUACUACUCGGGCAGGAAGGCAGCUCCCUGGGUGAUAUCCGUCCACGUCCGUAGAGUCGGGGCACCGUGACUUGAGACCACGGACACCCUCUCUCCCACCGCGGGCGGGCGUCUGUGGGAGGCGAGUGAUUCUCUUCGAGGUCACCUUAUCACGAACCCCUGCUUCCGAUGAAUUUUUACUUUUCUGACCAUUCUGCGCUCCUUUAGGUAAAAUAGAGGACUCUUAUUUGGGGACAGGGGCUUUGUUAUUUAAAAAUUUCUCCCCCCCCACCCCGCUAGCCCCUCUUCAAAUUCUUGCGUGGGUGAUAUUUCGACUUCUUUGCAGCGUGCGCUUCUGUUUACUUCGAAAGCUGUUGGUUAAACAAAACUCACUGGAAGGCUCUGAGCUGUGAGGUUCCCCGGAGAGCGGGUCCACAGCUGCUCCUCGCUACUGAUCUGGUGGCAUUUCACCCCUACCCCACUCAGAGCAGCCCCAGGUGGAGUUUGGCCUCACGCUGCGCACAGGGGGCGACGGGGAGGAGGCCCGCUUCUGUCUCUUUGCGCGCUGAGCUUGGUGGCAGGGGUGAGCGGGCCUCUCCUCAGCCGUCCUCCCUCGGAGCCCACAGCCCCAGCCUCUGGCGGGAUCUAGGUGAAAUGCCCAGAAUUGGUUUUAGGCUCUGGCGACGGUUGUUUGCCAGGCUUUAAACCACCGGUGUGCACCGUCUUCCCUCCCACGCCCCGCUCAGUGUCUUUUAAGAAAGAGCCGGAGGGGAGACGUCCUGGCGAAGGCCGCUUAGCCCCACACCUGAUGCAGGAGAGAGAAGGUGCGAGCGGACUGAGAAGGAACAGAUCGGCUUCCAGAUAAAUAAGCAAAGGCAGCCUGCACGGAGAGGGCUGCUUAGAGACCGCUCGCGACUUGCGCUAACUUUCAAGUUACUGAGAUUGUGUGAGCCAAGCGCAGACGGCGGAAGGGCUGCGAGGACCUGAGCCCGGCAUGUGGCCUCGCAGAUGGAGCCAAUAUCGAGGCCACUUCUCUUCUCUGGCUGACGGAUCGCUUCUUCCCAACCGAAAACCGUCGCCGAGAUAGAGGCUUGGGCCUCGCGCCUUGCUCCGGGGCCGCCGAAGCCCUGACAGCGCCCCUGGCCGGAGAGGAGAGGUCGCCAGGAGCCUGGCCCGCACGUCGCCUCGCCGGGCCGGGCAGGAAAAGGACGUCUCGGAGGUGGCAGCACGCGGAGCUGGACUCCAGACGAGCUCGCUCCAGCCCAUUUCAACCCUCGGCUCCGGCUCCUGCGCCCUGAGGUUGUUACCGGCCUCCCACUUGACUUGGGCCUGAGACAGAGGACUGACGCGGGUGCGGUGCGCAGGGAGCUUUCCCCGCCGGAUCCUAAACGUGAUGUGUGCUGAACGUGCACGGGGCGCUAGGUGCAGCCACAAACUUGUGGGCUGAAGUUGAAAACCUCUCUCUCUCUCUCUCUCUCUCUCUCUCUCUCUCUCUCUCUCCUUUCGCCCUCUUUUCCUUCCUUGGCCUCCUCCCACUUAAACUGCAAGCUGGGCAGAUGGUUUUAAGGUGUACAGGGUAAAUGUCCCUUACUCCUACCACUUUUAUUUGUGGAUAGAUACUAACUUCUAUGUUAGCUUACAGAUACUUAAGGAAAAAAUAAUAGGCCGGGGACGGUGGUUUGGAUCCAUUCUCACAACCCCAACUCCCCCCUUAACACACCCCGCUUACCUCGAAAGGGACCCAACCAAUAGAAGCAUUAUUAUUCCACACUGCAGCUCAUGGGCAUGUUGGGAGCCAUUUCAGUUCCCAGCCUAAACUGUCACGUCCCCAUUAGAACACUGGAUACACUAGCCUAGCGAUCGCUGGAGGCAUGAGUGUGAGGGUGAGCAUUUGCACGGUGGAGGGAGGGGUGUCUGGGGGCGGGAAAGGGCCUGCAGAGGGCUGGUGAUGCUCCUGAAAGCCUUUCUUAUUGCUGACACCAACCUGGUUGACCUUAUUAUUCCUCCUCCUCUUCCUCCUCCUCUUCUUAACGUUUGAAUUCCGUGCCUAAAGUUUCCCACAGAGUAUACACUGUGACAUACUAACACCGCUGUUCUGAUUCAAAGAGGAGACUUCCUAUCUCUUCACAGUUUGAUGAACCUGAAGCUGAAAUUGUAAAUGUCCUAGAAAGGCGUGGUGUCCCCCCCCCCCCCCGUCGCAGAAGAUGGUGGUAAUAGCCAGCCAGCCUGGGGUUCUAGCAACGAACCUCAUAAAUACUCUUGUCACAACACACGAUUCAACCUUUGAUCUGACUAAAUGUGAGGGACGCAGGAAAACUGCUGGUCCCCGUUCAACCUAAAAAACAUGCAUCUACUGGAGUAGGCAUGAAAGUUUCUACUUCCCAGCUCCUGCGAGCCCUAGCUUUUAUAGGAUCUUUAAGUGAUAAACUCGCCUGCUUUAUUAAAAGCCGUUUACUGUCCCCAGCGAAAGGCAUCUUCUCUCUGUGGCUGGAGGCUCUCUCUUCAGCGUCUGUUACCUUGCAAAGCCCAGAGCUGCCUUAUCUAGAGAACCCGUGCUGGGUAUUUCUCAUCUCAGAAAGUCAAGCCAAAAUGAACUUUCUUCGGUUUCAAGUUGGAGUCUGAGAUUCUAGCGUUUGAUAUGUCUUGCCUAAUAAACUUUAAACUUUGUUACCCAGGUGUCAAAAUCGUGUAAAUCCAGUGUUGGACUGCGCUCCUGAGUCGGUCUGGGGACACUGAGCGAGAUAAUGUUUGUAACAUAUACUUUUAAAUAGCUGCUGUAUCCAUAGUCCCAGGGACCCUGUCAGAGGUGGUGGUGGUGGUGGGGGUGUAAAUAUUCUUGUUCCCAGUAAUCUUGCUGGUGGUUGACUGGGGCUCAGCCAGUGUUGCUCCUUUAUAUCGGAUGCAGCGAGCUCAGCGUUAAACCUCCGCACGUAUCAUUUUAAUCCCAGACCUACCUGCAUCUCACAGUCCACCCCCUCUUUAAAAGGAAGCGUGACAUGUAUUGCGGCUCCUACCCAGGAUCGCUCUAAAAACGGACUGAUUUGUGGACCCUCCACUCCCUCCUUCUGCAUCACCGCCACCCCGAAAAGCCCCACUUUGUCUCCAGUAUACUUUUCCGUGCCUUCCUCCACCCGAGUCCGAGGAGCGCUCGCUCCCUCGCUCGCUGGGGCGCGGGGCGAACCCGAUCAGCUGUAUCUGGGAAAUGGAAAAAAACACGCACAAGCACACACACGCGCGCACACACACACACGCGCGUACACGGCGGCGAGGACCGGCUGCCCGGGAGCGGCGCGCGGCCCGCAGAUGGCUCUCGGC